rnacentral:rRNA from 1 species
GUAGGGGGCAAGCGUUGUCCGGAUUUAUUGGGCGUAAAGGGCUCGUAGGCGGCUUGGCAAGUCGGUCGUGAAAUUCCGGGGCUCAACCCCGGAACGCCGAUCGAAACUGCCAUGGCUUGGGUCCGGUAGAGGAGUGUGGAAUUCCCGGUGUAGCGGUGAAAUGCGCAGAUAUCGGGAGGAACACCACUAGCGAAGGCAGCACUCUGGGCCGGUACCGACGCUGAGGAGCGAAAGCGUGGGGAGCGAACAGGAUUAGAUACCCUGGUAGUCCACGCCGUAAACGAUGGGCACUAGGUGUGGCGGAUCGAUUAACGUCCGCCGUACCGUAGCUAACGCAUUAAGUGCCCCGCCUGGGGAGUACGGUGCAAGGCUA